UUUUUUUUUUUUUUUUUUUUUUUUCUCUUUGCCUUUUCUAGGGCCGCUCCCGCAGCAUAUGGAGGUUCCCAGGCUAGGGGUCUGAUCAGAGCUGUAGCCACGAGUCUACACCAGAGCCACAGCAACUUGGGAUCCCAGCCAAGUCUGCAACCUACAUCACAGCUCACGGCAACGCCGGAUCUUUAACCCACUGAACAAGGCCAGGGACCUAACCGAACCUGCAACCUCAGGGUUCCUGGUCCGAUUCGUUAACCACUGUGCCACGAAGGGAACUCCCAAGAACCAUUGCUUUUUAAGUGAGGCCUGAAAGUUGAGUUAUUUGAAAAGAGCGCAGUUUGUGGAAUAGUCCAAGAAAAUAAAGGCAAAGAGAAUUCUGUUAAGAUGGAAGAGUGGUUACUAGAUGCUGGAGAAAAACGCAACUGUGUCCCCCAGAAGCCUGACAUGAAGAAGUGUGCGUGUGUAUAUGCACAUAUACACGUGCUAGUAUUUCUGCGAAAAGAGGGAGAAAGAAUGGUGUUUGGAAAAGGACAAAAAGAUGGAGUCUGGGAAAUUAUUCAAGAGGGAACACUUCGGGAAGUUCCCAUCGUGGCUCAGUGGGUUAAGGAUCUGGUGUUGCCGUGAGCUGUGGUGCAGGUCCCAAACAUGGCUCAGAUCUGGCGUUGCAGUGGCUCUGCUGGCCUUUGCCAGAGCUACAGCAAUGUCAGAUCCGAGCUGAUUCUGUGACCUACACCACACCUCAUGGCAAUGCCAGAUCAUUAACCCACUGAGUGAGGCCAGGGGUUGAACCUGCCUCCUCAUGGAUACUAGUUGGGUUUGUUUCUGCUGAGCCGCAGUGAGAACUCCAUGUCUUUUUUUUUUUAAGUUUGGGUUUUCAGUAUUUUUGUUCAAGAGAAAGAAAGAUUAAACAGCUAGUAUAAACCCAGUGUAUUGUUUAUGUUACAAUGGAGGUAAUUAGGACCUAAGUCAUCCUACUUGGGCAACCAGUUUUCCACCCUACACUGGAAACUAUUUCUUUUUUCUUUCUUUUCUUUUUUUUUUUGGCCACACUUGAGGCAUCUGGAAAUUCCUGGGCGAGGGAUCUAACCUGUGCCACAGCAGUAACUGGAGCCACAGAAGUGACAAUGCUGGAUCCUUAACCCCUAGGCCACCAGGGAACUCCUGGAAACUAUUUCUAAAUCUUUAAGAAACAUACUCGGGUUUUUUUUGAGUGUGUGUGAAAUAUAUCUAACAUUUAUUGAAAUGUAAUGACAUGCACUGAAGCCAUCUUUUAAGUUUUUGUAGGGGUUAAAUGAGAUCAUGCAAGUAAAGCACUUGAGCCAAAGUAAGAACUCAGUAAAUUUGGUUAUGUGGCUUAUUUAUCUGUUCCAAACAGUAUUCGGAGGUAAAUGUUAUUGCCACAUUUGAGGUGGUAGCAGAAGCUCAUAGAAGUUAAGAAUUGAGUGCAGAGUUGAGGUUCAACCAAAUCACGUCUAACUCUGGAGCCAGCACUUUUAACCACUAUAUUAUGAUUCUUAUAUAAGCAAUUUUUCUUAAAGAUUCUGGGUGUUAUUGAAUUUUUUUUUUUUUUUUUUGUCCUCAGUGGGGGUGCAGGUAAGGGAAAACUUGAGAAAACUAUAAAAGUUUAUAACUGUAAAAAUUAUAAUAUAGGUACAUUUCUUAUCUUAAAAUAAUUCAAACUUAUCAUAGACUUUCUAAAUUUUUGUAUUAUGCUAGAUAGCCUCUAGCAUAAUUGAAAAAACAUAGCAAGAUAAAUUUAAAAGGGUGGGGAAAAAAAAAAACUACUGACAAAUAGGUAAAAUGGGUGAAUUUUGGUUUUCUCAUAAAGAUUUCUUAUUUAGGAGAUCCCAUCAUGGCUUAGUGGUUAACAAACCCGACUAGGAUCCAUGAGGAUGCAUGUUCGAUCCCUAGCCUUGCUCAUUAGGUUAAGGAUCUGGCAUUGCCGUGAGCUCUGGUGUAGGUCACAGAUGUGGCUCAGAUCCUGCAUUGCUGUGGCUGUGGCGUAGGCCAGCAGCU
rnacentral:lncRNA from 1 species